UGCUUCAUCUCCUCCUCCGUUGACAAAUUGAAGAAAGUGGUAGAGGAAGGUAAUGCCUACGGAGCUUUGCAGAUGUACAAAUCCUUCAGUGCCAGAUAUGUUACGGGAAGAGGAAAGAUCUGCAGAGAAGAAGAA